UACGUAGGGGGCUAGCGUUGCUCGGAAUCACUGGGCGUAAAGGGUGCGUAGGCGGGUCUUUAAGUCAGGGGGGAAAUCCUGGAGCUCAACUCCAGAACUGCCUUUGAUACUGAGGAUCUUGAGUUCGGGAGAGGUGAGUGGAACUGCGAGUGUAGAGGUGAAAUUCGUAGAUAUUCGCAAGAACACCAGUGGCGAAGGCGGCUCACUGGCCCGAUACUGACGCUGAGGCACGAAAGCGUGGGGAGCAAACAGG
rnacentral:rRNA from 1 species